ensembl:lncRNA
UUUUUUUUUUUUUUUUGGAAAUGUACAAAUACAGAAAUCACUCACUCAGAAGUACGGAUGGUGCCAAUUCUUCAUUGGCUUUGUUUGCUUCUUUGGGUACUCCAGCUUCCAGUGAGGUGCUGGGUGACUGCAGACAGCUUUCAAUUGAAGAAGGGAUUUUUGUGAAAUCAAGGCACCUGAAUUCAUGGCUGUUUUUUCUGAAAACCUCUAGUUUAUCUGCUACAUAACAUUACUGGAAAACUUCAUCAGAGUCUUCGUUUUAUUUUGGGGACUGUUCCAGAUGUGCUUACUUACAUGUCUACGUCUGCUUCCAUCUUUAGAAAUACCCCGGGUACCUCAUUCUGCUGCUUGACUCAGAAACAGUUUUCAGUGCAUGUCUAACACUUUUGGUGAUUUAUGUAAAAACACAGCUGAAGGAAAAGGUGUGCUUACCUCAAGUAGAAAAACCCAUGCUAUGCCCCUCUUUUGCCUCUCUAUCCACUCCUCUGCUCAAGAUUUUUUAAACCUGAGGACCCUUAAGUCUACAUCUCUCAGGAAAGCAUUUGAUGAAGGUCUGCAAGUCACUUUAAGAUGAGAUUAUUCUUAGUUUUCAAGUAAAAUAUCUAGCAUUUAAAUAUAUUGAAAUAACAGAAAUGAUAAAGCCUUGUUUCCAUGCAGCAUUCUUCAGUGAGCCUAAUUAACAUAUCAUAACUUUGAUUUGUGUCUUUCAUGACUCAUUAGAUUAGGGGAGUAGAUCAGGGAACCAAACCCAUACUUCUUCCUUCCAUCUCCCUCACACAUACUUGUAAGUGUUUGGUUAAGGUUAGGGUUACUAGCUUUAUCAUACUUUAUCACGCUACUUAUCCCCAAUCCAUGUGUCUUUAAAGAUGUAAAGGUAGUAGAGGAGGUCUAUCGAAUUGAAUUAUUUUCUUGUGUUCAUUUUAACUACAGAAAACUUUGGAAAUAGUUAUUUCACAGCUAAUAAUGCCAUAGGUACAUAAUUCAAGCCAAUAUAAAUGCAGUAAAAGAAAGUGGUUUUUUUAAAUCUACUGACGAUGUAUUGUACAUGCUGGCAUAGAGAUGUCUAGAGUAAAAUAAUCUGAAGUAACUUCUUUGAGCUUUUAAGGAUCACUUUUGCCAAAAUUCACAAGGUGGAGGCUGUUAAGAAAAUCACAAGGCGGGAGAAGUAUGAUUAUGGAACAGCAAGUCAUAAAAAAGCAAGGAAUAUAAGUAAAUGCCCAGAUUCCAGGCUGGCAAAAGGCUAGCCAAGUGAUGACAGCAGAGCUGCACUAUGAAUGCUGUCAAAAACAUUUCAAAUGACAGAAGAGCUGGCCUGAAGUGCAGCAGAGCAUGUACAAGAGGGACCUAGCAAAGCCAGACAAACUGGCAGUGUGACGAUAGGUGGAAUAUGAAAACAAAACAAUGUCAUGGACAAUACCACUAGCUUUCAAAAGAAAAAAAAAAGAGACAGCACCUGGGGCAAGGAAGGACCUUAAAAUUAUCACCAAAAUGUUCUUUGUCUGCAGUGAUGGUUGAUGUGUGAUCAGAUGCCUAAAUGACAAGAUAAGUAACAACAAAAAUAAUGCAACACUGUACACGUAACACACUUUAUUGCACCUUUAUGAUGCAUCUUCAGAUGUACUCUGCAUGUGCAUGAGUGGGAAUGCAUAAAUACAUCUGAGUCUACAUAUGGACCGACAUAAAAUACUGACCUGUUUACAGAGUUGAAUUUGUAGAAUUUCCAGUGUUUAAAAAGAUAAUUGUUUGAUUCAGAUUUUCUGUGCAGUGUUGUGAUAUUAUACCUCUGCGGUGCCAAUACUUCCAUUAUUCUGUGUGCACAUAUGCAUACAGAAACACCCCCAUACAUAAAUUUUGAUACACAAAUAAAAAUAUUUUUCAUUG